rnacentral:rRNA from 1 species
UACGUAGGGUGCAAGCGUUAAUCGGAAUUACUGGGCGUAAAGCGUGCGCAGGCGGUUAUGUAAGACAGGUGUGAAAUCCCCGGGCUUAACCUGGGAACUGCAUUUGUGACUGCAUAGCUAGAGUACGGUAGAGGGGGAUGGAAUUCCGCGUGUAGCAGUGAAAUGCGUAGAUAUGCGGAGGAACACCGAUGGCGAAGGCAAUCCCCUGGACCUGUACUGACGCUCAUGCACGAAAGGACGU